rnacentral:misc_RNA from 1 species
GAGAGAGUGAGCGUGCGUGAUUGUGAUGGCUUAGGGAAAGGCAUGGCAAAGAAGGGUUUUUAGGAGUCCAUCCGAUGUCCAUGGGGACACCAUCACUGCCCUUCUUGUUGCUCUUCCUCUUUCAAUCGGACAAUAGUUAGCAGAGUAGCAGCCGUUCUCAAUUCCAUUUUCCUUCGAUUCGAUUCUCUCUUCCCGACUUCUAUAAUCGAAUACCAUGUCCAUACCGAUAAAUGUUGAAGCGCAACGCACACUUUAACGCCCAAAUAACCCCCACAGAGCACCCCCCACCCCAAGUUGGAUUUGGGGCUAUGACGUACUAGUAGUAUUGGGUAGGUAGAAUGAUUGAUUGCGGCCGCCGCAGAGCUAGAGCAGAAUAAGGUUAGGCCAUUUCCCUAUUUUACUUCAUUCUUUGAAUUGAAGCUGUGCUUAUAAAGUAUUAUCCUAAAAUUUAGAUUCACUGUGAUUGCAAAAACCCAGACAGUUCUCGUGAAAAAAAAAACCCAGACAGUUAAAUAAAGAACUAAAUAGUUUUAUUUGAUAAUUCUUGGCAAAAAAAAAAAAAAGAAGGAUAAAAAGAGUUACAUUCUGCUUGCUAGACCAGAGGAUGCAGGAACGAAUGGAUCAGUCAUUUUUCAUUUUCUUUCAUGUUGUAUCACAAUCACAAAUGCAUUGAUUUCUAAUCUCACGACUACUUGCUACAUGGAGGUCACUGCCUCUGCCUAUGGCGGACCUUCCACUACUACUACUACUAGUGCUGGUACCAUUUCUGCCGAUCUAAACCAAUUAAUUCAUAGGCUUAUGGACCAUUUAUUUCAAUCACUUUCUUUUCUUGUUACUUUCUGUCUGCAACUAGCCUGCUGCCACAUUUGCAAAGCUAUUGAAGCUCUGUGACCUCAUGGAGUACUCUUUUAUAAGUUUUGAGAAGAAAGAAUCCUCUCUCUCUAGCAGUCUUGCCGGGGUGUCAUACUCCGCAAUUCUUCCGUCACUAAGGACCAAAACAAGAUCGCUGUCUAUAACCGUGUGAAUUCUGUGAGCUAUUGUCACCACUGUCCGAUCGUUGAACUCUUGGCUAAUGAUUUUCUGUAUUACUCCAUCUGUUGCUGAAUCAACCGAUGCUGUCGCUUCAUCCAGCACAAGAAUGCUGCUUUUCUUUAGCAAGGCUCUUCCCAGACAGAGCAACUGUCUCUGCCCUACACUCCAGUUUUCUCCAUUUUCAACCACUGUGGCAUCCAACUUUUCAUUUUUUGAGCGUACUAAAUCACCCAGCUGACAUUUAUCUAGAGCCUCCCAUACUUCAUGAUCAGAGUAUUGGUCUAGCGGAUCAAGGUUUCCUCUCACUGUUCCUUCAAACAUUGUUGGGUCCUGCGGGAUGAUGCUAAGCCUUGAUCUUAAGUCUUGAAGGCCUAUCUUGGAAAUGUCCACAUCGUCGAUUAAAAUGCUUCCCUCUUUCGCUUCGACAAUUCUGAAAAUGGCCUGUAUGAGGGUUGAUUUCCCACUUCCUGUCCUCCCUACAACACCAACUUUUUUCCUUCCAGGAAACGUGCAGCUAAUGUUUUUAAGGACAGAUGGGAGAUGUUCUGCAUAACGAAUCUCCAAAUCUUUGAAGCAUAUUGUUCCUAUUUCUGGCCAGUUGUUUGAAGGUCUGCACUCUUCAACCACAAGGGGUGCUUCACUUGUUAUAUUUGAGUACUGAAGAAUUCUUUCUACCGAGAUCAUUUUGUUUUCUGCAUUACAUAUGUUCCAUAUAACUGAAGCUUGCAAAACAUUCAAAUUUAUCCCAUAUGUUACUCCCAAUCCCGCAAUGCUUGGACUGAUUAUUCCUUCGGGAAGGGUGACCAGCAAAACCAAAGAGAAGGCAAAGACAAAAUUGGAUAGUAUAUUCAAUCUGAAAGAAAGCCAUUCCAUUGCUGAUACAUUGUGAAACCAUGGCCUUGAGUGGCUGUCUAUAAGAUCAAGGUUUGCUUCAAUAAAACGGUCUUCUUGAUCAAAAGCACGAAUAGUUGCUGCUCCUGCUAGUGAUUCUGCAAAGUGGUGAAGAAUCGGAGCUCUCUGUAUUCCUGCUAAGCGGGCUAGUUCUCUAGCUGUCGGUAUGUAAUAUCUUUGGUACCAUAUGCAGAUUGCAGUUACUGGAAUGAAGAUUACAAAUACUUCCCAUGCAACCUGGGACAUUACUGCAAUGGUUCCUAUAAUCUGUAUUAUUGAGAAAGCACACCAACCUAGUCUGUUUGCUAUUUCCAAGUCUAGCACACUCUGGUCUGUCGAUGCCCGGUUCAAGAUUCUUCCAGUUGGGGUUGAAUCAAAGAAUGCCAUUGGAGCCCGGAGUACACUAUGCAGCAUCUUUGUAAAGAGCUUUUGUGCUGUGGAAAGUCCAGCUACUGCAACUAGCGUGGCUCUGAGCAAUACGCAAAAAGAACUUCCAACAGCAAGUAGUACAUAAACAAGUAAUAUGGUAUUCAUUCCCAUUACUGGCUCACUUUCACUUGUGGGAGGAGAAGCCCAUGUCAUCCAGUAGUUACUAGCAAUCUGUAACAUUUGGAACGAUGACUGUGCCAGGAGUAUGAUCGGAACCAGGGCUCCGUGUUUCACAGUGGUUAAAUAUGACCAGUAAACUUCUUUUCCAAUGCUUCCUUUUUCUCUUUCUUCAUCCUGCACCAGUUUUCCUCCCUUUUCUGUUAUCUCUACAGAGAGGUCAUGGUCUGAGUCAUGUCUUGUGCUUGAAAGGUCUGCUUUUGCAGAAGAAUCUGUAUUGGAUUUGGCAUCAGAUACUUGGUUUUGAGACAUUCUUCUUGUAGUUUCAACCUUAAGAACUGACUCUAGGGCUUGGCUAUGAGCACCGACUAGAAUUUCAAAUCCUGUGUUUUGAUUCAAAAGUUCAUCAAAAGUUCCAGCUUGUGCCAUUCUCCCAUUUUGCAUCACCAGAAUGAGGUCUGCUGCAGGAAGAAACUCAACUUGGUGGGUAACAUAAAGUAUAGUUUUGUCUUUGAGGAUUCCCAUUAAGCAUUCCCGAAAGAGUUGGGUGCCUGUAUGAGCAUCUACCGCACUAAAGGGGUCAUCAAGCAGAUAUAUAUCAGCAUCUUGGUACACUGCACGAGCAAUUUGUAUCCUUUGCUUUUGUCCCCCACUCAUAUUUAUUCCUCUUUCUCCUAUCUCGGUUAAGUCACCACAGUUGAACAGAUCAAAAUCCUUUGUCAAGGCACAUGCUUUAACUGUGCUGUAAUACUUGGCACUGUCAUACGGAUUCCCAAACAGAAUAUUCUCCCUGAUAUUUCCUGUCAGUAUCCAUGGAGACUGAGGAACAUAAGCCUUUGUACCACUGAUCUUCACAGUCCCUGACAGCUUCUGUAUUUCUCCAAGAACGCAAGAAAGUAAGCUAGACUUGCCCGAUCCUACAGUCCCAGAAAUUGCCACCUUCAUCCCCCUCUUCACUUUCAACUGUAUUCCAUCAAGGGUUGGUAUGCUUGACUCAGGAACCCAGCUGAAUUUUCCAGCAUCAAUUUCAACCUCAAAUUCUGUUUGAUCUUUUGGAACAUACUCAAUGGCAUCAUGUUGAAUUUCACCUUCCUGAAGGUAGGAAGCCACUCUAUCUGCUGAGACUUUGGCUUGGGCAAUCACUGAGAGCAGAUCAGGUAAAUUGAAUAUGGGGUCCUGUAACAUUCGGAAGGUAGCCAAUGCUGAUAGAACUCUUCCGGCAGUGAGCUGAAUUCCAAUUAGCAUACAUGCUCCAAAGGUCACCACAGAGAUAAAUGUGGGUGAUCCCCAGAAAAUAAAAGCUGAAAUUGCUGAAAGUCUAAGAGACUUCCACAAGCAAUUGUAUUCAAUGGUCCUUAAGCUUUCGAGCUUGUGGAGGAAUUGAUUGUCCCAUGCUUGAAGUUUCAGAAUCUUCACGUUACGAAGCACUUCUGAGGUGGCUUUCAUUCUAUUGUCCUUGGCUUCCAUGAUCUGAGAUUGGUAUCUUUUAUGAAUUCUUGUGAUGGGUAUAUUGCACAUCAUUACUGUUAAAGUUGCAGCUAAUGCUGCCAAUGAUCCCAAACCUAGGUUUGUCUUUAGAAUAUAGAUUGCUAAAGAAAUUUGUAUAGGCAGCAUCCAUAUGAUGUUCAGGUACCAAAUGAAAUCCGUAAUUCUUUGGAUAUCUACGCUCAUGUAGUUAAUGAUCUCCCCACUAGUGUGAGUUUGGCGGGAUUGGCUCGACAAAAGUAGGCCCUUUUUGUAAAUGUGAGAUAUCAGAGCAGCUCUAAGGCGAAGUCCUAACUGGCGGGCACCGAAUAUCCACUGCCUCUGUGUUAUCGUCUCAAUCAUUUUGGCACAGAGAAAGGCUAGUGCAAGAAGGUAACCACUCUCUAUGUUUCGGGUUUUUUUCUCAGUUAGAAAAUUUACGAAGUCGUCAAUGAGAUAAGGACCUACAUAUGAUGCUACAGCGCUGGUAAUUGCAAAUAAUGCAUUAAUGGCUGCUUUCUUUCUGAUAAAGAAGAAGAUUGCCUUGUAGAUAGAAGGGUUUGUGGUUGUGUCUUUCUCCUUGACUUGAUUUAGGCACUCUUGGAAGGCUGGGGAAAGAUACGCAGCAGAGUCCUUGUUAUCAACAUCUGGGAUUUCGUCCUGUUCAAGAGGUUUCUUGAUACCAAUAGCAAACAAUGGGUUGAGCCAAGAGAAUGUAAUCAGCUGGAGAAGAGUAGCAUUACCAUACGGAGAUUCGCUCUUCCCUUCCAAGUGUUUACCUGUCUUUCCAUGAAGAAGUGGGUCGGUGAUUGCACUAGAUGAAUUGAAGACUAUGCCUGUCUUCCCAUAGAUUGAAACACCCAACAGGAAGGUGGAUGAGAGGACACCAAGAAAGUCUGCGUAGUCUCGAACUCUAAGACGGCCAUGGUUUGUAAUUCUGAAAUAGGUGUCUAGAGAUGCGCAGAUAACGGAUUGCAAGAAGCUGCAAAGCCACCAUACUCUUAGAAGCCAAGGGAACUUGGCAUUCUGGUCAUGCAGGACCCUGUAUACUACAAUCACUGUAAUUACUGAUGAUCCUAGUUGCAUGAUCUGAGAUGAAAGGGCAAAAAGUUUAGAGUCGCAACGGGUCUCCUGACCAUUUAGCAGCAUCAGGAGCGCUAAUAAGUGUAAUCCCAGCAGCAAAAUGGAGCAAACGAUGGUGGCUUUAUAAGCUAUGCUGAAUUUAGCUCCGACGGAGUACUUGUGUAUGCUUUGAUCUGGAAUUUUUGUCCUCCUUUUGAACGUUAUGCCCACACAUUUUCGUAGAAAAAGGAGUAGUAAGAUUCCCAGGAACCCAAGGUGUAUAGGAAUGUUUACAUCCUCCCACAAACAGGGUGAGUUCAGCUGUGGCCAUGACAUCUUAAUCAGAAGCUUAAAUUCUGCACGCAUAGGAAAGCAGGUUAGAAGCGCGGCCACCUUGAAAUUAGAAGCUUAAAUCCUGCACAAAUAGUAGAGCAGGUUAAGAAUAAAAUUUCUGAGAAGCCUGAAUGAUGUAGAAUAUAGCCACUUUAAUCUUUAGCCAAACUCGAUUGCCACCUUUGUGCAAAUAAGACGAGUCGCUGAAAUUCAAGCACUUAAUUUUUGUGUUUUUCCCCGAUAUAUAGAAAAACACAGCGGCCGGAAUUGACAAAUGUUAUUCUCUCAUGUGUACUUAGUUGCAUAAAACAAGAGGAGGAACUAGGUAUAUGCCGUAGCAAAAGAAAAACCACUUUUGUGAACUUCAUAUAUGUAUCUUAAAAGGAAGAGCAGAAUUAAAGGAAAAGAAGGGUACGUCUGUUACGAGGCUUACUUGUAGCAGCAUGUGAAUCGAACCAACUAAUUAAUUUGAAUGAACCUUGGUACUUGCAGUGUGCAUAUCCAUGCUUAGACACAGUGUUGAGAGAGAAGAAGGUGUGCGGAACUGCAGCUACGCAUUGACGCGGAAAUGGCAGGUGAGAGAGGGCAAAGAAUAAAUUUGAUGAUAGUAACUAGGCAUAGGAUUUUG